rnacentral:rRNA from 1 species
UGGGGAAUAUUGCACAAUGGGGGAAACCCUGAUGCAGCGACGCCGCGUGAACGAAGAAGGUAUUCGUAUCGUAAAGUUCUGUCCUAUGGGAAGAUAAUGACAGUACCAUAGAAGAAAGCUCCGGCUAAAUACGUGCCAGCAGCCGCGGUAAUACGUAUGGAGCGAGCGUUGUCCGGAAUUAUUGGGCGUAAAGGGUACGCAGGCGGUUUAAUAAGUCGAAUGUUAAAGAUCGGGGCUCAACCCCGCAAAGCAUUGGAAACUGAUAAACUUGAGUAGUGGAGAGGAAAGUGGAAUUCCUAGUGUAGUGGUGAAAUACGUAGAUAUUAGGAGGAAUACCAGUAGCGAAGGCGACUGUCUGGACACAAACUGACGCUGAGGUACGAAAGCGUGGGGAGCAAACAGG